UCGCUUUAAUUUCUCAGCAGUUGUUAUAUCUUUGCAGCUUUCAUGAAGGCGAUAUGGUUCAAUCAUCUCUUCAAAGAAUUUCCAGCUGAAACAGGAAUUACAAAGGAAGCCUUGCUGCAGGUCUGUAGAUCUUCUUGAUACCCAUGGGAGCUGCGUGCACAGCCAGAUGUUAUAGUCUCUGCAGGUGAAAAUUCUGAGAACACUUGCCUGCAUGCAGGCAUGGCUUCAGCCUACAGCUAGUAUUAUGAAGAUAAUGAAAUACAUACUUUCAGAUCUCCUGAGAUAUUUGCUCCUGCAAGAAUGCCAGUGGCAGCUGGGAAAAAGAUGGCAAACACCGAGAAAAACCCUUCUCCGCUUCUGAAACCUGGUCCAAAGUUUUCUGCAAAUAUCGAUGCUGCAAAUAUAGGUGAAAAUGAAACAUAUCACCAUGAUUUGGUUUUAAAGCUCCUCAACUUUAGGUGAAUAAGCUAGUCUUUCAUGUCUGGACGACUGGGUUUGAAACUGUCUCUUAUAAUAAGCCAAGUGAAUUUGAUUUCCUUAGUCUGG